rnacentral:rRNA from 1 species
CCCGAGUAGCUUGGGACACGUGAAAUCCCUUGUGAAUCAGCGAGGACCACCUCGUAAGGCUAAAUACUCUUGAGUCACUGAUAGUGAAAAGUACCGUGAGGGAAAGGUGAAAAAGAACCCCUAUUGGGGAGUGAAAGAGAUCAUGAAAUCUGGAGCAUUCAAUCUGUAGGAGGGCCGAAGGGCCUGACUGCGUGCCUGUUGAAGAAUGAGCCGGCGACUCAUAAUUUUUGGCUUGGUUAAAAAAAGAAUUUUGGAGCCAGAGUGAAAACAAGUUUAAAAAAGCGAAUAGUCAAAAGUUAUGGACCCGAACCCGAGUGAUCUAACCAUGACCAGGAAGAAGCUGAGAUAAAACUUAGUGGAUGUCCGAACCGACCGAUGUUGAAAAAUCGCCGGAUGAGUUGUGGUUAGCGGUGAAAUGCCAAUCGAACUCGGAGCUAGCUGGUUCUCCCCGAAAUGCGUUGUGGCGCAGCAAAAAAUUAUUAAGGGGUAGAGCACUGUUUCAGUACGGGCCAGUCAAAUGGUACCAAACUGUCGCAAACUCCGAAUACUUAAUAUAAGCAAAAAAGUGAGACAUUGGGGGAUAAGCUCCAAUGUCGAGAGGGAAACAGCCCAGAUCAACAGCUAAGGCCCCUAAAUAAUAACUAAGUGUUAAAGGAAGUAUCAACGCUGAAACAGCCAGAAGGUUCGCUUAGAAGCAGCUAUCCUUGAAAGAAUGCGUAAUAGCUCACUGGUCAAGUAAAGCGUCGAUGCGCCGAAAAUGUCCGGGACUAAGUUAUUUGCCGAAGCUUUGGGUUCGCAAAAGCGAACGGUAGGGGAGCGUUCUGUUUAAGGUGAAGACUCAUUGAAAAAGAGGUUGGAUUAAACAGAAGUGAGAAUGUUGGCUUGAGUAACGCAAACAUUGGUGAGAAUCCAAUGCCCCGUAAACCUAAGGUUUCCUUUGUAAGGUUCGUCCGCGAAGGGUUAGUCAGGACCUAAGAUAAGACUGAAAAGUGUAAUCGAUGGACAACAGAUGAAUAUUUCUGUACUUAUUUUAAUUGAGUGACAAAGGACAAAAGAGGUAAUUUUUAACUGGUUGUACAAUGGUAACAAUGGAAGUGUUCAACAGAAAAUAAAAGCAGAAAAACUUUUAUUCAAUGGAGACAUGAUCCGCUGCUCCGCUUUUGGCGAAGUCAGUCGACUUAAAAUUAUCAUAUUUUCAAGAAAAGUUUGAGACACUUAUCAAUUAAAGUAACCUGUACCGCAAACCAACACAGGUAGGUAAGUUGAGUAUACUCAGGGGCGCGAGAGAACUCUCUCUAAGGAACUCGGCAAAAUGGCCCCGUAACUUCGGGAGAAGGGGUGCCUCAAUCGAGGUCGCAGUGAAAUGACUCAUUGAACUGUUUAUUAAAAACACAGGUCUCCGCUAAGUCGCAAGACAAUGUAUGGGGGCUGACGCCUGCCCAGUGCCGGAAGGUUAAGGAAAUUGGUUAAAUGCUAAUAACUGAAGCCCCGGUGAACGGCGGCCGUAACUCUGACGGUCCUAAGGUAGCGAAAUUCCUUGUCACGUAAGUUGUGACCCGCACGAAAGGCGUAAUCAAAUGAGUACUGUCUCGGAGAGAGACUCGGUGAAAUAGACAUAUCCGUGAAGAUGCGGAUUACUAAUCGUUAGACACGAAGACCCCGUGCAGCUUGACUGUAUCUUGAUAUUGGUUUCCAGUUAUUUUUGUGCAGUCUAGGUGGGAGUGCAUUUUGUGUACAACAUUGAGAGACCACUCUGAAAUAAUUAGAAUUCUAAAAGUGAUUCCUUGAAACAGGACACUUGACAGUGUCAGGUGGGCAGUUUUUUUGGGGCGAAAUUCUCCUAAAAAGUAACGGAGAUUUGCAAAGGUUCCCUCAAACUGGACGGAAAUCAGUUGUUGAGUAUAAAGGCAAAAGGGAGCUUGACUGUAAGACCUAUAAGUCGAACAGAGGCGAAAGCCGGCCUUAGUGAUCCGACGGUUCCAUGUGGAAGGGCCGUCGCGCAAAAGAUAAAAGUUACGCCGGGGAUAACAGGCUUAUCUUCCCCAAGAGUUCAUAUCGACGGGAAGGUUUGGCACCUCGAUGUCGACCUUUCGCAACCUGGGGCGGUAGUACGUCCCAAGGGUUGGGCUGUUCGCCCAUUAAAGCGGAACACGAGUUGGGUUUAGAACGUCGUGAAUGUCUCGCGACCUUGUAAAGUAAUUUGCAAGUAUAUCUGCGAUUAGCGAUAGAAUAUUGAGAGGAAUUUUCCAUAAUACGAGAGGACUUGGAAGAACAUACCUCUGGUGUACCAGUUCUUAUACCAAUAGGAUAUGCUGGGUAGCUACGUAUGGAGUAGAGUACCGCUGAAAGCAUCUAAGUGGGAAACUCACCUCAAGAUGA